AUUGAACGCUGGCGGCAGGCUUAACACAUGCAAGUCGAGCGGGGGAAGGUAGCUUGCUACUGGACCUAGCGGCGGACGGGUGAGUAAUGCUUAAGAAUCUGCCUAUUAGUGGGGGACAACAUCUCGAAAGGGAUGCUAAUACCGCAUACGUCCUACGGGAGAAAGCAGGGGAUCUUCGGACCUUGCGCUAAUAGAUGAGCCUAAGUCGGAUUAGCUAGUUGGCGGGGUAAAGGCCUACCAAGGCGACGAUCUGUAGCGGGUCUGAGAGGAUGAUCCGCCACACUGGGACUGAGACACGGCCCAGACUCCUACGGGAGGCAGCAGUGGGGAUUAUUGGACAAUGGGGGGAACCCUGAUCCAGCCAUGCCGCGUGUGUGAAGAAGGCCUUAUGGUUGUAAAGCACUUUAAGCGAGGAGGAGGCUACUUUAGUUAAUACCUAGAGAUAGUGGACGUUACUCGCAGAAUAAGCACCGGCUAACUCUGUGCCAGCAGCCGCAGUAA
rnacentral:rRNA from 1 species